GCUGGCGGCAUGCUUAACACAUGCAAGUCGAACGUGAAAGCACUUCGGUGUGAGUAGAGUGGCGGACGGGUGAGUAACGCGUGGGAAUCUGCCCAGUAGUGGGGGACAACUACCGGAAACGGUAGCUAAUACCGCAUACGCCCUAUGGGGGAAAGGCUUCGGCCGCUAUUGGAUGAGCCCGCGUCAGAUUAGCUAGUUGGUAGGGUAAAGGCCUACCAAGGCAACGAUCUGUAGCUGGUCUGAGAGGACGAACAGCCACACUGGGACUGAGACACGGCCCAGACUCCUACGGGAGGCAGCAGUGGGGAAUAUUGGACAAUGGGCGAAAGCCUGAUCCAGCAAUGCCGCGUGUGUGAAGAAGGCCUGCGGGUUGUAAAGCACUUUCAGUUGGGAAGAUGAUGACGUUACCAACAGAAGAAGCACCGGCUAAAUCCGUGCCAGCAGCCGCGGUAAUACGGAUGGUGCGAGCGUUAAUCGGAAUUACUGGGCGUAAAGCGCGCGUAGGCGGCUAAGUCAGUCA
rnacentral:rRNA from 1 species